GUAUGAAGUUGGAAUCGCUAGUAAUCGCGGAUCAGCAUGCCGCGGUGAAUACGUUCCCGGGCCUUGUACACACCGCCCGUCACACCAUGAGAGUCGGGAACACCCGAAGUCCGUAGCCUAACCGCAAGGGGGCGCGGCCGAAGGUGGGUUCGAUAAUUGGGGUGAAGUCGUAACAAGGUAUC
rnacentral:rRNA from 1 species